UUGCUUGCAGUGUAGUCGAGCCCCUCUUAAUAAUGACAGCCACUUCGCAGAGGCAAAGUAAGUCUGUUUUGUAGCAUAGUCGAACCUCUCUCAAUAAGGACAGCCACUUCGCAGAGGCAAAGUAAGUCUGUUUUAGUAUAGUUGAACCCCUCGAGGACACCUCAAUAUUAAGGAGAGUUUUUAAAGUCCCAACGAAAAUUCCACAAAAUGGAUAAGGUCGCAACGAAAUUCCACAAAAUGGCUGAAAUAACG